rnacentral:rRNA from 1 species
UUUAACUGAGCGUUCAGUUACUUGACGUAGACCCGAAACCGGGCGACCUACCCAUGAGCAGGAUGAAGCGAAAGUAAAAUUUCGUGGAGGUCCGAACCCACGAGCGUUGAAAAGCUCGGGGAUGACUUGUGGGUAGCGGUGAAAUUCCAAUCGAGCCCGGAGAUAGCUGGUUCUCCCCGAAAUAGCUUUAGGGCUAGCCUCAAGGUGAGAGAUACGGAGGUAGAGCACUGAAUGUCCUAGGGGGUAUUGCACCUACCGAAGACUAUCAAACUCCGAAUGCCGUCAUCUUAUACUUGGGAGUCAGACUGUGGGUGAUAAGAUUCAUAGUCGAAAGGGCAACAGCCCAGAUCGUCAGCUAAGGUCCCUAAAUGUAAGUUAAGUGGUAAAGGAUGUGGGAUUGCACAGACAACCAGGAUGUUGGCUUAGAAGCAGCCACUCAUUCAAAGAGUGCGUAAUAGCUCACUGGUCGAGUGAUCCUGCGCCGAAGAUUUCCGGGGCUAAAACUUACUACCGAAGCUACGGCAUCAGUAAUGAUGGGUAGGGGAGCUUCCCAUACGGGUUGAAGCAUGACCGUAAGGACAUGUGGACAGUAUGGGAGUGAGAAUGUUGGCAUGAGUAGCGAGAUGUGGGUGAGAAUCCCACAGGCCGUAAACCCAAGGUUUCCAGGGGAAGGUUCGUCCGCCCUGGGUUAGUCGGGACCUAAGCUGAGGCCGAAAGGCGUAGGUGAUGGACAACAGGUUGAUAUUCCUGUACUACCGAUAACCGUUUGAGAGAAGGGAUGACACAGUAGGAUAAGCUAAGCACA